AUUUAUUUAUUUAUUUAUUUGACAGAGAGAGAGAGAGGAAACACAAGCAGAAAGAAUGCAAGAGGGAGAAGCAUGUUCCCUGCUGAGCAGAGAGCCGGAUUCCAGGCUUGAUUCCAGGACCCUGAGAUCAUGACUUGAUUCAAAGGACUUAGCCAUCCAGGAACCUAUAUGUUGUUACUUUAAAGAUUGAGUUGUGGGGAUCAUUUGUUCUUCCAACAUAUGGUUGAGCUAGGUUUGCCAUCCGAUGCUAUUUUUUUGUUAAACCUUUUGAUCCAGAAAACCUAUUCCUGGGAUAAUACUGAAAACAAACGUCUUACUCAUGCAUAGCAGAAGACAUCUAUGAUAAUGUUUAUAGCAUUGUUAUAAUGAAUACUAUGAUGAAUGCUAUAAUGAAAGCCUGGAAGCUGCCUUGAGUCUGUCAUCAUGGGAUUAGAUGAAUAAUCUGUGGAAUAGUCACCCAGUAAUAUUACACAGGAUUAAUGUUAUAGCAAUUGGAUGGACAUUUAGUGCUCUAAUACUAAAG
rnacentral:lncRNA from 1 species